AUACGCUCACGUAUGGGCCGCCGGAAAUACUGCAAAGCUAGGGAGUGGGAGAGGUAGACGGUACUCGGGAGGAAGGGGUAAAAUCCUUUGAUCUCUCGAUGACCACCUGUGGCGAAGGCGGUCUACCAGAACACGUCCGACGGUGAGGGAUGAAAGCUGGGGGAGCAAACCGGAUUAGAUACCCGGGUAGUCCCAGCUGUAAACUAUGCAAACUCAGUGAUGCAUUGGCUUGAUGCCAAUGCAGUGUUGCAGGGAAGCCGUUAAGUUUGCCGCCUGGGAAGUACGUACGCAAGUAUGAAACUUAAAGGAAUUGGCGGGGGAGCACCACAAGGGGUGAAGCCUGCGGUUCAAUUGGAGUCAACGCCAGAAAUCUUACCCGGAGAGACAGCAGAAUGAAGGUCAAGCUGAAGACUUUACCAGACAAGCUGAGAGGUGGUGCAUGGCCGUCGCCAGCUCGUGCCGUGAGAUGUCCUGUUAAGUCAGGUAACGAGCGAGAUCCUUGCCUCUAGUUGCCACCAUUACUCUCAGGAGUAGUGGGGCGAAUUAGCGGGACCGCCGUAGUUAAUACGGAGGAAGGAAGGGGCCACGGCAGGUCAGUAUGCCCCGAAAAUC
rnacentral:rRNA from 1 species